AGAAACUUAGGUUAGACAUAAACCAAGAGCCUUCAAAGCCCUAAACAGAGGAUAAAACCUCUAGUCUCUG
rnacentral:tRNA from 1 species